CUGCAGACCUUAUCCAGCGAGGCUCAGCCUGCUGUGGCUCCGUCCUUUCCUGUAGCGUCUGCUAGAGCGACCUGAGGCGGUUUGAGCCCCUGCUGUGGCCCCUCGCGGCAGGGUUAUAGGUAAACCUCAGACAUGC